UACAGAGGGUGCAAGCGUUGUUCGGAAUCAUUGGGCGUAAAAGGGCGCGUAGGCGGGAUGGCAAGUCGGUCGUGAAAUCCCUCGGCUCAACCGAGGAACGUCGAUCGAUACUGCUGUUCUUGAGGAUUGCAGAGGAGACUGGAAUUCCCGGUGUAGCGGUGAAAUGUGUAGAGAUCGGGAGGAACACCGGUGGCGAAGGCGGGUCUCUGGGCAAUUCCUGACGCUGAGGCGCGAAAGCGUGGGGAGCAAACGGG
rnacentral:rRNA from 1 species